rnacentral:rRNA from 1 species
UACGGGGGGGGGGCAAGCGUUGUUCGGAAUUACUGGGCGUAAAGGGCUCGUAGGCGGCCAACUAAGUCAGACGUGAAAUCCCUCGGCUUAACCGGGGGAACUGCCUCUGAUACUGGAUGGCUUGAGAUUGGGAGAGGGAUGCGGAAUUCCAGGUGUAGCGGUGAAAAUGCGUAGAUAUCGGGAGGAACACCAGUGGCGAAGGCGACUACCUGGCCUGUUCUUGACGCUGAGGCGCGAAAAGCUAGGGGGAGCAAACGGGG